UACAGAGGUCUCGAGCGUUGUUCGGAUUCAUUGGGCGUAAAGGGUGCGUAGGUGGCGCUGUAAGUCGGGUGUGAAAUCCUGGGCUUAACCCGGAACUGCAUUCGAUACUGCAGUGCUUGAGGACUGGAGAGGAGACUGGAAUUCAUGGUGUAGCAGUGAAAUGCGUAGAGAUCAUGAGGAAGACCAGUGGCGAAGGCGGGUCUCUGGACAGUUCCUGACGCUGAGGCACGAAGGUCAGGGAGCAAACGGG
rnacentral:rRNA from 1 species